UACGUAGGGUGCAAGCGUUAUCCGGAAUUAUUGGGCGUAAAGAGCUCGUAGGCGGUUUGUCGCGUCUGCUGUGAAAACUGGGGGCUCAACCCCCAGCCUGCAGUGGGUACGGGCAGACUAGAGUGCGGUAGGGGAGACUGGAAUUCCUGGUGUAGCGGUGAAAUGCGCAGAUAUCAGGAGGAACACCGGUGGCGAAGGCGGGUCUCUGGGCAGUAACUGACGCUGGAGGAGCGAAAAGCCGUGGGGGAGCGAACAGG
rnacentral:rRNA from 1 species